rnacentral:rRNA from 1 species
CCUACGGGAGGCAGCAGUGGGGAAUAUUGCACAAUGGGCGAAAGCCUGAUGCAGCGACGCCGCGUGGGGGAUGACGGUCUUCGGAUUGUAAAUCCCUUUCAGUAGGGACGAAGCGCAAGUGACGGUACCUGCAGAAGAAGCACCGGCUAACUACGUGCCAGCAGCCGCGGUAAU